rnacentral:rRNA from 2 species
GAUGAACGCUGGCGGCGCGCCUAACACAUGCAAGUCGAACGGUUAAAGCACCUUUUAGGUGUGUAUAAAGUGGCGAACGGCUGAGUAACACGUGGGCAACCUGCCCUCCUCUUGGGGAUAGCCUCGGGAAACCGAGGAUAAUACCCGAUACUUCAAUGUGGCCGCAUGACGACAUUGAGAAAGCUUUUGCGGAGAAGGAUGGGCCCGCGGCCUGUUAGCUUGUUGGUGGGGUAGAGGCCUACCAAGGCAAUGAUGGGUAGCUGGGUUGAGAGACCGACCAGCCAGAUUGGGACUGAGACACGGCCCAGACUCCUACGGGAGGCAGCAGUGGGGAAUCUUGCACAAUGGGCGAAAGCCUGAUGCAGCGACGCCGCGUGCGGGACGAAGGCCUUUCGGGUUGUAAACCGCUUUUCAGCAGGGACGAGGCGAAAGUGACGGUACCUGCAGAAGACCCCGGCUAACUAC